GAUGAAGAACGUAGUGAAAUGCGAUACUUGGUGUGAAUUGCAGAAUCCCGUGAACCAUCGAGUCUUUGAACGCAAGUUGCGCCCGAAGCCAUCAGGUUGAGGGCACGUCUGCCUGGGCGUCACAUAUCGUUGCCCAAUGCCUAUUGCAGUGCAAUAGGAAUUUCUAGGGCGAAUGAUGGCUUCCCGUGAGCGUUGUUGCCUCGCGGUUGGUUGAAAAUCGAGUCCUUGGUAGGGUGUGCCAUGGUAGAUGGUGGUCGAGUUAGAACGAUACCGAUCAUGUGCAUGCUCCCCAAAAUAUGGCCUCUAUGACCCACACGCGUCUUUUGACGCUCAUGACGAGACCUCAGGUCAGGCGGGGCUACCCGCUGAAUUUAAGCAUAUCAAUAAGCGAGGA
rnacentral:misc_RNA from 1 species